GGCGAGUGACAGGAAAAAGCUCAAAGUUGGAACCUGUUUGGCCUAGCUCAAACCGGAUUGUAAACUGUAGAAGUGUUUUCCAGGCAAGCCGGACCGAUAAGUCCUUUGGAACAGGGCAUCAUAGAGGGUGAGAAUCCCGUCUUCGGUCUGAGCAUUUGCCUUUUGCGAUACACUUUCAAAGAGUCAGGUUGUUUGGGAAUGCAGCCUAAAUUGGGUGGUAAAUCUCACCUAAAGCUAAAUAUUGGCGAGAAACCGAUAGCGAACAAGUACCGUGAGGGAAAGAUGAAAAGAACUUUGAAAAGAGAGUUAAACAGUAUGUGAAAUUGUUAAAAGGGAACCGUUUGGAGCCAGACUGGCUUGUCUGUAAUCAGUCUAAGCUUCGGCUUGGAUGCACUUGCAGGCUAUGCCUGCCAACGACAAUUUGGCUUGAGGGAAAAAACUAGGGGAAAUGUGGCCCAUCCGCGGGUGUUAUAGUCCCUUAGAAAAUACCUUGGGCUGGAUUGAGGUACGCAGCGAAUGCUAUUUGGCGAGUUGGCUGGGAAUAUUUUCUGAGGUGCUUUGGUACUGAGGUUGAUAUUCCUAGUUACACUUCUAUUCGCUUAGGUUGUUGGCUUAAUGACUCUGAAUGACCCCGUCUUGA
rnacentral:rRNA from 1 species